GACGAACGCUGGCGGCGUGCCUAAUACAUGCAAGUCGAACGAGAGCGACCGGUGCUUGCACUGGUCAAUCUAGUGGCGAACGGGUGAGUAACACGUGGGUAACCUGCCCAUCAGAGGGGGAUAACAUCCGGAAACGGAUGCUAAAACCGCAUAGGUCUUCGAACCGCAUGGUUUGAAGAGGAAAAGAGGCGCAAGCUUCUGCUGAUGGAUGGACCCGCGGUGCAUUAGCUAGUUGGUGAGGUAACGGCUCACCAAGGCCGUGAUGCAUAGCUGACCUGAGAGGGUGAUCGGCCACAUUGGGACUGAGACACGGCCCAAACUCCUACGGGAGGCAGCAGUAGGGAAUCUUCCGCAAUGGACGCAAGUCUGACGGAGCAACGCCGCGUGAGUGAAGAAGGUUUUCGGAUCGUAAAACUCUGUUGUUAGAGAAGAACAAGUGCUAGAGUAACUGUUAGCGCCUUGACGGUAUCUAACCAGAAAGCCACGGCUAACUACGUG
rnacentral:rRNA from 1 species